GGGAGGCUGCUCUGACGGUAUCAGACGCAGACACGGCUUGAGUGAUCCAUGCUACUUGUUGCUUCUGUGGCUAGCUUGGAAAUUAGCAGACGAAACUUGAACAUCGAAGCUUCUGAUGCGACCGGGUUGGAAGCUGGAAAUCUCCGUGUAGCCUCGUGUAGCAUCGGUCAGGUUUUUUGUUGGUGCACUAUUUGAUCCAUAGUGCUACUGUGAAGACUGGAUUGCAUUUCCAGAACUGGAUGGCGAGCCCCAGCCCAAGGAUCGGACAAACCGGUAGAUAGUGACCCGACUGGUCACUAUAACUGAGACAUUGCAUGAACAAUUGAUGGACACUGUGACAAAAGACUAAAAAGGAAAAAAGACUACAGACUGGAUUAUUUAUUUCUAAUUGUUUAUUUUCCUUGUGUUGUUUUUGCUUUGGGUUUCAAAAGGGAAAAGCGCGCAGUUUGUUAAUUGUGUAUAUAUAUAUAUAUAUAUAUAUAUAUGUGUGUUGGUUUAAUGACAUUUCAUUCAGUAAAUUCUACUCUUUCUAUAAACUGUGCAUCUUCCUCUGUUGUUGCUCACACCUAGGCUCCCCCACGAAUCCAGAGUCUUCUGAUUAGGCCAACAUCCCUUUAUGUGUGUGGUAUUGGUAUUAGUUAUUGAAGUAAUUUACUCUACCAUAUUUCACAACUGUCAAGGGUACUUGAAGGUAACCUCUUGUGGGUUACACACGUGUUACACACGUGUUACAAAUGCACGAGGAGUUCAGAAACAAUUUGAAAUGAGGCGCAGAAUCUUUUUGUGGUACGCCGUACCUGACCGGCUUACUUUCAGCCCUGCACAUAUAGUCUAUAGAUGCAGCUUGACCAACCGAGUUUACUUUCUCACCCUAU